GAUAAACGCUGGCGGCGCACAUAAGACAUGCAAGUUGAACGGACUUAAUCGAAAUAUUUAUAUUUUGAAGCGGUUAGUGGCGGACUGGUGAGUAACGCGUAAGGAACCUGCCUAUUAGAGGGGAAUAACAGUGAGAAAUCAUUGCUAAUACCGCAUAUGCCAUAGAUAUCACAUGAUAACAGUGGGAAAGGAGCAAUCCGCUAAUAGAUGGCCUUGCGUCUGAUUAGAUAGUUGGUGGGGUAACGGCCUACCAAGUCGACGAUCAGUAGCCGGACUGAGAGGUUGAACGGCCACAUUGGGACUGAGGUACGACCCAGACUCCUACGGGAGGCAGCAGUCGGGAAUAUUGCGCAAUGGAGGAAACUCUGACGCAGUGACGGCGCGUAUAGGAAGAAGGUUUGCGGAUUGUAAACUAUUGUCGUUAGGGAAGAGAAAGGACAGUACCUAAUGAAGAAGCACCGGCUAACUACGUG
rnacentral:rRNA from 1 species